UACGUAGGGGGCUAGCGUUGUCCGGAAUCAUUGGGCGUAAAGCGCGUGUAGGCGGCCUUGUAAGUCCGUUCUGAAAGCCCGGGGCUCAACCCCGGGAGGCGGAUGGAUACUGCAAGGCUCGAGUCCGGAAGAGGCGAGUGGAAUUCCCGGUGUAGCGGUGAAAUGCGCAGAUAUCAGGAGGAACACCGGUGGCGAAGGCGGGUCUCUGGGCCGAUACUGACGCUGAGGAGCGAAAGCGUGGGGAGCGAACAGG
rnacentral:rRNA from 1 species